rnacentral:tRNA from 1 species
GGGGAUGUAGCUCAGUUGGUAGAGUGCUUGCCUUGCAUGCACAAGGCCUUGGGUUCAAUCCCCAGAACCACCA